rnacentral:rRNA from 1 species
CCUACGGGGGGCAGCAGGGAAUCUUCCACAAUGGACGAAAGUUUGAUGGAGCAACGCCGCGUGAGUGAAGAAGGGUUUCGGCUCGUAAAGCUCUGUUGGUAGUGAAGAAAGAUAGAGGUAGUAACUGGCCUUUAUUUGACGGUAAUUACUUAGAAAGUCACGGCUAACUACGUGCCCGCAGCCGCGGUAAUACGUAGGUGGCAAGCGUUGUCCGGAUUUAUUGGGCGUAAAGCGAGUGCAGGCGGUUUGGUUAGGCUGU